rnacentral:piRNA from 1 species
UGUAAACGGGACUUUUACCCACAGGGGGC